UUAAAAGCUGAGCAGCUGAUGGAUGUGAGACAGUUCUUAGAACGUCUGAUGGAGAAAUCCAAAGGUUCAUUAUGGGCCAGACACUCACCUGAGCACACAUCUCAAAACUAUUCCAUAUGUAUUUAAUGUGCUGUUACUCUCUAUAGUACACAAGGAGGAAUAUUUAGAUCUACCCACAGUACCUUCAUGAACAGACACAACAGAGAAAAUAACAGGUUUUGGAAUACAUGCCCAUAAUAGUCAUUGUGUCUUCCUGAAAGAGGCUCAAGACCCUGUAAAUCCUUGAGAGCAAUGACUGCAUUCUGUGAAAGAUUCAGGUGUAAUCUGAAGCAACAGCAUCUAAUUCAUUGAGUCUACACACAGUGUCUCAGCAACAUAAGGGCUAAUGCCUUAACUUUUUCCCUCCCCUGCCUCUUACUUUUUGUACUGCUUAGCUUGAAGAUGAGUUUUUGGAAAUAAAAAAUCUGAAUGUUUUUGUUAAAUCUUAGUUGGGCCUAAUAAAGGCACUGCCCAAUUGUGGAGUUCUUUUCUACCUCCCCCAUUGGAACAGCACUUUUAUAUUUGUUUUUCACAUGGCUAAGUGUCUUGCUAUUUCUGUUUCUCUUCCUCACUACUCUGUCAUUGGUGUUCCUUUUCCCAUUGCCAAAAGGUUUGCACCAAGAUGUCUUGUCUUCAUUUGUGAUUUGCUCAUGCUAAUCUUGAAAGUGUCAUGUGUUCUAGUGGAGCAAUAUAAAGACACACUCAUAUUGCAUUGUCCAGCAUCAUGGCUGUCUUCUAGAUUGUCUCUUAAGGUAAGGGUGUGGGAAUAUUUUAUUCUCCGUAUUUUUGGCCAACAAGUCCAACCAGCAU